rnacentral:lncRNA from 1 species
AGGACUCCCUGCCUCCUUGUUCAGGGAAGUAGGGGAGGAUCAAGGCCACACUGGGCACCAGGAGCUGGAAGAACAAGAGGGUCUCUGGCCCAGAGUCUGGGAUGGGGAGAGGCAGAGGGGGCAUUGGAAAUUGGGGACACAUCUUUGAACUGAGAUAACAGCUGUUGCCAAGACCAGCACCUGGGCCAGGCUAAGGAAGGGCAGGGCUAAAGGAUCGCCUGCGGGCCUCGCGGGCCGAUGCCUCGGGUCCCCCUCCGGCCUCGGUUUCUCCGCGCAGCGGGGCGGGGCGGGGGCAGCGCGGGUCUCAAAGCUGCCUGCAGGGGGCGCCCGUGAGCGGCGCGGCCGGAGCCGGAGACCCAGCGGCCGCCGAGACAGCGGGAGCCGGCGUGCGAGCGGCAGGUUGCCAGUCCUGCUCCAUCCCUCAUGUCCUGGAAGAGAGAGAGAGACGAGGUGGCUGCCCGAGUCCACGUGAAAGGCAGCCUCUGACCUCUUGUCCCCAGGUGCCUCAGGAACCCUGAAGCUGGGCUGAGCCAUGAUGCUGCUGCCAGAACCCCUGCAGAGGGCCUGGUUUCAGGAGA